UUUUAAGGUAAAGACUCUGGAAGAUUAUUUAUGAAAUCCUUAAAAAUGUCUCUGCUUUGAGACUGCCCUUUCCUCAAAGUCGUACGCCCUAUAACAAGGCACCAUUGUACCUGCUCACACGAGCCUUAACACUGCCUCAGUGAUUAAUAGGACACUGCCAUAGUGGAGACAGAAGCAUGUUUUUAACAAAUUGCAACCCCAUCUUAGGAUCAGAACUGCAUGACACUCAGAAGAAGUGGCAACUGCACCAAAACUUAUCAGCUUUAUUUCUGUCUGCAGUGCCCUGAAAGGUAAUACAUAGCUGGACGGAUGUCUCCAGUACUUGCUAUCAAACCAUCAUUCUUUCAAACCUCCCGGAACUUAUAUAGUCAUCCUUUGACUGUUCUAAAUGCAUCAAGAUGCUUCCAUCCCACAAUUGUAAAACAGUUUUAGUGCCUUAUCCCUCUGACAUUUUCAGAAAGCAGAGAAAUCUGGUAGAAAGAUUCAUUUUUUGUGCUAUGUUGUCUUUCUCACUGUUUUUUCUGUAGUGUCUCUCUUACCUACAUACACUUUCUGAAAGACAUUCCUUCGUGUUCUCUUCCCUCCCACCUCUUGUCUGUUACAGUUUUUGCUCUCUUACUCUCUCCUCUCUUUCAUUCCAAUUCUUCACUUUCAUCUGCUUGCAAGAGUAGCCCAGAUAUUCCGAUGGAUCCAUAAAACGAAUACUGGGCCAAUACAACCAGUGAAAAACAGGGCACAAAGUUACCCAGAGGAACCAAGAACAAGGAGAAGAAACAUGAAAAGCCAGACCAAGUUCAUAUCACUGACUGGAGAUUUUCCUCGGUCUUUAAUUCUGUCAUCACGUGAUGGAUUAUUAAAAAGCUAAACCUCUGUUAAAUAAGGUAACCACAUACAGACAUUUCUUUGCAGUUCAUUUUCCAUUUUUCCACGCUUCAGCCUUCACGCUCUCUUGCAACUGAGUGGAGAAGAGAGGAAUUCUGAUUUUUCAAUUAUAGGCAUAGAAAAGGAAGGAAGAAAGGAGAGGAGAGGAGAGGAGAGGAGAGGAGAGGAGAGGGCCUGGGUGUAGUGAAAUUUGAAAUGGAUUCAAUAGAAGUAUAAAUAGUUGAUUAAAUAAAUUGGACUGGCUGAGAAUGUGAGGUGUCUCC
rnacentral:lncRNA from 1 species